rnacentral:rRNA from 1 species
GAUGAACGCUGGCGGCGUGCCUAAUACAUGCAAGUCGAGCGAACGGACGAGAAGCUUGCUUCUCUGAUGUUAGCGGCGGACGGGUGAGUAACACGUGGAUAACCUACCUAUAAGACUGGGAUAACUUCGGGAAACCGGAGCUAAUACCGGAUGAUAUUUUGAACCGCAUGGUUCCAAAGUGAAAGACGGUCUUGCUGUCACUUAUAGAUGGAUCCGCGCUGCAUUAGCUAGUUGGUAAGGUAACGGCUUACCAAGGCAACGAUGCAUAGCCGACCUGAGAGGGUGAGCGGCCACACUGGAACUGAGACACGGUCCAGACUCCGACGGGAGGCAGCAGUAGGGAAUCUUCCGCAAUGGGCGAAAGCCUGACGGAGCAACGCCGCGUGAGUGAUGAAGGUCUUCGGAUCGUAAAACUCUGUUAUUAGGGAAGAACAUAUGUGUAAGUAACUGUGCACAUCUUGACGGUACCUAAUCAGAAAGCCACGGCUAACUACGUG